CUUUGUCUGCCACGUUCGUUGGGCUUGGUAAUUCUUGAACCAAUUCUCAUUGAGCCAGGGUUAGGAAUAUUUCCGCGUCGGCGUGAUCUUCUCGCGUUAGAACUUCCCAAGGCGCGGGUGACCUUACCCACCUGAACCCCGGUUCAGUCAUCGGUUCAGCGGCGUGCGCAGACCCUUC
rnacentral:other from 1 species